UACGGAGGGGGCUAGCGUUAAUCGGAAUUACUGGGCGUAAAGCGUGCGCAGGCGGCUUUGCAAGACAGAUGUGAAAUCCCCGGGCUCAACCUGGGAACUGCAUUUGUGACUGCAAGGCUAGAGUACGGCAGAGGGGGAUGGAAUUCCGCGUGUAGCAGUGAAAUGCGUAGAUAUGCGGAGGAACACCAAUGGCGAAGGCAAUCCCCUGGGCCUGUACUGACGCUCAUGCACGAAAGCGUGGGGAGCAAACAGG
rnacentral:rRNA from 1 species